CGCUGAUUCUUAUUAUGUUUUUUUUGUUGAUUAUUAUUAUUAUUGUGCUGAUUAUUAUUAUUAUUAUUAUUUAAGUGAUGAUUAUUCUUAUUCAGAUUAUGCUGAUUCUUAUUAUCUUGCUGUCCCGGCAAGCGUUGUUUUGCCAUAUAAAUUAUUUCUAGGGAAUCUAUAGUCUAGAAAAAAAAUAACUAACUUAUUGUAAGUGUUUAAGGAUGUGGUAAAUUAGUGAAAGAGGCAUGGAGCGCUGUGAACGAUGAGGGAAUAUAAAAAUAACAAAAGGCAAACAUUAUUUUUAAGUUAUUAUAAUUUAUUCCUUAAAAAUAUCAAUCUCUUAAUGCUAUAGCGUGAACAAUAUUUUUUGUUAGUCCAUCUUUAGCUAACACAAACAAACUGGAUGGUUUACCCACUCGAGAGCAUGCCACGUAUAAUUGUCCGUGUGAAAAACAUGGUGUUCUCAAAUCUAAGCCACAAAUAGACAUCGUUUGACCUUGGGAUUUGUGUCAUCCAUGUGAAAUAGCGUGGUACUUGUGAAUAGGGUAAUGUUCGGGCAAAGGCACCAAAAUCAUCCGCACGAUUACACAAUUUAAAAAAAUCAGUGAGUGUAGUUUUUGGUGGAUUUAUAGCACGAUCAAUCGCUGUCUCGUUCGUGAAAAAUACACGCUGACCGUUUUCAAGAUGGACAGCUAACUGAACAACUGCUGGAUCCCGUUCAUGAAUAGAAAAACCAAAGAUACGCCAAGCAGCUUCAUUGGAGCUGAUGUACCGACCAAUUUGGUAGAGCGUUAU